UGAGCUGCGUGCCCUUCCCGGGAUGCGGUGGUGCCCUUCCCGGGAUGCGGUGGUGCCCUUCCCGGGAUGAGCUGCGUGCCCUUCCCGGGAUGAGCUGCGUGCCCUUCCCGGGAUGAGAGGGUCCCGCUCGGCCUGAGCCCCUGCCUGUCUCUCACAACCAUGGGAGUCUCUUCAGCGGUUCAGUGCUGGUAAUUUGCCGGAAAUACGCUAGAUGUCAGUUGCCUAAAGAACGCCACGCUGCAAAGCUCAGAGCACUCAAACCCAUGGCUGCCUCUCCAGACAGGCACAGGAAGGCACAAAAAGCUCUUCACUCACCACAACCACGUUUUAUGGACCAAGAAAGUGCAAGUGUCAUCCAAGUCUCAGCUGUCCAUUCUACAAAAUCUGGCAGAAAUAGCCUGAGGAGGAACCCAGGAUCUGCAGAGCAGAAUUCAGGGAACGACUGGUGACAGUACCAGGAACCUGCAACGAGUGCCAGGAAACACAGACUGGAGAACACCAAGUGAAACCCCUGAGAAUACACCUUGUACUGUGAGCAGAUCAGUUCAAAGGGUGAGGGGAUGGGAACUCAGAACGCCAGCUCAAGUGAAGCACAACAAAAUAUCCAGUGGAUGGGGCAGGUUAUUUCUGGAACGUGAUCAACUUAAUGAGUAUAUCGUUAAAUACUAUUUCCUUUUAUGUUUGGGCAUCUCUUCAGCCACCUUCACAAGGUUUUUUAGUCUUUAAUUGGUUCUUUGAAGUGAACACCAACUACUGUAGCAGCUUACAAGAUUUUAAGGCUCUGUGUUUAUUGUACCUUUAUGUAAUGGGCUUUUAGAAAUGGAGAUACUUAUAGUAGAAGUUUAAGAUAAAAUUUGAUUUUAAGGUACUGCAUGCCCAGCCCAUUAAUGUGCAUUUAGGAGCAGGACUUAGGUCUUGGUAGGUAGGUAAGAGACACUUUGAUGUUUUACCUAUAGUGCCUGAAAAACAAUGAGUACCGUGUUAG